CUAAUUACUUUCUGAAGUAACUAAUUACUUUCAUAAUUUGCAACUCAGUAUCUAAUUUAGUUACUUUUUGGAAGAAGUAACAAGUAACUGUACCUAAUUACUUUUUAAAAGUAACUUG